ensembl:lncRNA
GCUAAGAUGGCUGCCGUUGAGUACGGGAGUGUCCUUCGAUCCACACUUUAGAUUAGCCCGUUUGAGGACGGCAUCCGGGUCCUUGAAGUAUACUCCUUUCGCCGGAUCUUACUCAAAUUUUGGCUAAUCAGAGUCUCUCCAUUUUCCACCAUACCUCGGUCGUCAAGGAGACGACCAUGCUGCUGUUUUGAUUGACAGCUCGUCAUCAGUGCUGGCGGUGGUUGCCAUGGCAGCAGAGCUGACUCAGGACCAGGUGUCGUGGACCAGGAGAGAAGGGGAAAAUGUCUCCUUCAGAUGUACAGACACUGACCAGUGUGGUCUUAUCUACUGGUACCAGAAGAAAGAGGGGGAAACGUUAGCCGUGAUUCUUCACAUUCAAAAGAGUAAUGGUAAAAUUAACAAAGGAUACAACCAUCCUCAGAAGGAUGAUUUCUCAUCAGUCCUCAAAGAGAACAGCUGGGAGUUGUUUCUUCAGGCGGUGAACGCGUCCCAUUCUGCCACCUACUACUGUUCCUGAUAUUUCACUGUGGAUAUCCUAACCUUUGGUCGCGGCACCACCCUGGUUGUUACAGACAGGUCAGUGGUGCGGCCCAAAGUGAGCGUCUACCCAGCGACGGGAGCUGAUUUAAAGGGCCGGCGCUCCCUGCUGUGUGUGGCCAGAGACAUGGUCCCUGAGGAGGUCCG